rnacentral:rRNA from 1 species
ACUCCUACGGGAGGCAGCAGUAGGGAAUCUUCCACAAUGGGCGCAAGCCUGAUGGAGCAACACCGCGUGAGUGAAGAAGGGUUUCGGCUCGUAAAGCUCUGUUGUUAAAGAAGAACACGUAUGAGAGUAACUGUUCAUACGUUGACGGUAUUUAACCAGAAAGUCACGGCUAACUACGUGCCAGCAGCCGCGGUAAUACGUAGGUGGCAAGCGUUAUCCGGAUUUAUUGGGCGUAAAGAGAGUGCAGGCGGUUUUCUAAGUCUGAUGUGAAAGCCUUCGGCUUAACCGGAGAAGUGCAUCGGAAACUGGAUAACUUGAGUGCAGAAGAGGGUAGUGGAACUCCAUGUGUAGCGGUGGAAUGCGUAGAUAUAUGGAAGAACACCAGUGGCGAAGGCGGCUACCUGGUCUGCAACUGACGCUGAGACUCGAAAGCAUGGGUAGCGAACAGGAUUAGAUACCCCGU